UACGAAGGGGGCUAGCGUUGUUCGGAAUCACUGGGCGUAAAGGGCGCGUAGGCGGCCGAUCAAGUCGGGGGUGAAAGCCUGUGGCUCAACCACAGAAUUGCCUUCGAUACUGUUUGGCUUGAGACCGGAAGAGGUUAGUGGAACUGCGAGUGUAGAGGUGAAAUUCGUAGAUAUUCGCAAGAACACCAGUGGCGAAGGCGGCUUACUGGUCCGGUUCUGACGCUGAGGCGCGAAAGCUAGGGGAGCAAACAGG
rnacentral:rRNA from 1 species